rnacentral:rRNA from 1 species
AUUGAACGCUGGCGGCAGGCUUAACACAUGCAAGUCGAGCGGUAACAGAGAGUAGCUUGCUACUUUGCUGACGAGCGGCGGACGGGUGAGUAACGCGUAGAAAUCUGCCUGGUAGUGGGGGAUAGCCCAGAGAAAUUUGGAUUAAUACCGCAUACGCCCUACGGGGGAAAGCAGGGGACCUUCGGGCCUUGCGCUAUCAGAUGAGUCUGCGUCGGAUUAGCUUGUUGGUGAGGUAAUGGCUCACCAAGGCGACGAUCCGUAGCUGGUCUGAGAGGAUGAUCAGCCACACUGGGACUGAGACACGGCCCAGACUCCUACGGGAGGCAGCAGUGGGGAAUAUUGCACAAUGGGCGAAAGCCUGAUGCAGCCAUGCCGCGUGUGUGAAGAAGGCCUUAGGGUUGUAAAGCACUUUCAGCAGUGAGGAAAGGUUGUAGUUUAAUACGCUAUAGCUGUGACGUUAACUGCAGAAGAAGGACCGGCUAACUCCGUGCCAGCAGCCGCGGUAAUACGGAGGGUCCGAGCGUUAAUCGGAAUUACUGGGCGUAAAGCGCGCGUAGGCGGUUUGUUAAGUCAGAUGUGAAAGCCCCGGGCUCAACCUGGGAACUGCACCUGAUACUGGCAAACUAGAGUACAGAAGAGGGUGGUGGAAUUUCCUGUGUAGCGGUGAAAUGCGUAGAUAUAGGAAGGAACAUCAGUGGCGAAGGCGACCACCUGGUCUGAUACUGACGCUGAUGUGCGAAAGCGUGGGGAGCAAACAGGAUUAGAUACCCUGGUAGUCCACGCCGUAAACGAUGUCUACUAGCCGUUGGGGAACUUGAUUCUUUAGUGGCGCAUCUUACGCACUAAGUAGACCGCCUGGGGAGUACGGCCGCAAGGUUAAAACUCAUAUGAAUUGACCGGGGCCCGCACAAGCGGUGGAGCAUGUGGUUUAAUUCGACGCAGCGCGUAGAACCUUACCUACUCUUGAAAUCCAUAGAAUUCGCUAGAGAUAGCUUAGUGCCUUCUGGAACUCUGUGACAGGUGCUGCAUGGCUGUCGUCAGCUCGUGUUGUGAAAUGUUGGGUUAAGUCCCGUAACGAGCGCAACCCUUGUCCUUAUUUGCCAGCACGUAAUGGUGGGAACUCUCAGGAGACUGCCGGUGACAAACCGGAGGAAAGUGCGGACGACCUCGAGUCAUCAUGGCCCUUACAAGUACGGCUACACACGUGCUACAAUGGCCGGUACAGAGGGCCGCAACCCCGCGAGGGUGAGCAAAUCUCAAAAAACCGGUUCGUAAUCCGGAUUGGAGUCUGCAACUCGACUCCAUGAAGUCUGAAUCGCUAGUAAUCGCGAAUCA